rnacentral:rRNA from 1 species
AAUAUUGCACAAUGGGGGAAACCCUGACGCAGCGACGCCGCGUGAGGGAAGACGGUUUUCGGAUUGUAAACCUCUGUCUUCGGGGACGAAGAAAUGACGGUACCCGAGGAGGAAGCAACGGAUAACUACGUGCCAGCAGCCGCGGUAAUACGUAGGUGGCAAGCGUUGUCCGGAUUUACUGGGUGUAAAGGGAGCGUAGGCAGGUAUGCAAGUUGAAUGUGAAAUCUAUCGGCUCAACCGGUAGCUGCGUUCAAAACUGUGUAUCUUGAGUGAAGUAGAGGUUGGCGGAAUUCCUAGUGUAGCGGUGAAAUGCGUAGAUAUUAGGAGGAACACCAGUGGCGAAGGCGGCCAACUGGGCUUUUACUGACGCUGAGACUCGAAAGCGUGGGGAGCAAACAGG